GCAGUCGUGGCCGAGUGGUUAAGGCGAUCCAUUGGGGUCUCCCCGCACAGGUUCGAAUCCUGUCGACUGUG
rnacentral:tRNA from 1 species